UACGAAGGGGGCUAGCGUUGUUCGGAAUCACUGGGCGUAAAGCGCACGCAGGCGGAUCGUUAAGUCAGGGGUGAAAUGCCGAGGCUCAACCUCGGAACUGCCUUUGAUACUGGCGAUCUUAGAGUCCGGGAGAGGUGAGUGGAACUCCGAGUGUAGAGGUGAAAUUCGUAGAUAUUCGGAAGAACACCAGUGGCGAAGGCGGCUCACUGGCCCGGUACUGACGCUCAGGUGCGAAAGCGUGGGGAGCAAACAGGG
rnacentral:rRNA from 1 species